rnacentral:rRNA from 1 species
CCUACGGGGUGCAGCAGGCGCGAAAACUCCGCAAUGCGGGCAACCGUGACGGGGUUACCCCGAGUGCCCCCNUUACGGGGGCUUUUCCCCGCUGUAAACAGGCGGGGGUAAUAAGCGGGGGGCAAGUCUGGUGUCAGCCGCCGCGGUGAUACCAGCCCCGCGAGUGGUCGGGACGAUUAUUGGGCCUAAAGCGCCCGUAGCCGGCCUGGUGGCCCCCCUCCUAAAGCCCCGGGCUCAACCCGGGGAGUGGAGGGGGUAGCGCCAGGCUAGGGGGCGGGAGAGGCCGAGGGUACUCCCGGGGUAGGGGCGAAAUCCGAUAAUCCCGGGAGGACCGCCAGUGGCGAAGGCGCUCGGCUGGAACGCGCCCGACGGUGAGGGGCGAAAGCCGGGGGAGCAAACCGGAUUAGAUACCCGGGUAGUCCCGGCUGUAAACGAUGCGGGCUAGGUGUUGGGCGGGCUUCGAGCCCGCCCAGUGCCGCAGGGAAGCCGUUAAGCCCGCCGCCUGGGGAGUACGGCCGCAAGGCUGAAACUUAAAGGAAUUGGCGGGGGAGCACCACAAGGGGUGGAGCCUGCGGCUUAAUUGGAGUCAACGCCGGGAACCUCACCGGGGGCGACAGCAGGAUGAAGGUCAGGCUGAAGACCUUACCUGACGCGCUGAGAGGAGGUGCAUGGCCGUCGCCAGCUCGUGCCGUGAGGUGUCCGGUUAAGUCCGGCAACGAGCGAGACCCCCGCCCCCAGUUGCUACCCGGGGCUCCGGCUCCGGGGCACACUGGGGGGACUGCCGCCGUAUAAGGCGGAGGAAGGAGGGGGCUAUGGCAGGUCAGCAUGCCCCGAAACCCCCGGGCUGCACGCGGGCUACAAUGGCGGGGACAGCGGGUUGCGACCCCGAAAGGGGGAGCUAAUCCCUGAAACCCCGCCGAGGUUGGGAUCGAGGGCUGCAACUCGCCCUCGUGAACGCGGAAUCCCUAGUAACCGCGCGUUAGCAUCGCGCGGUGAACACGUCCCUGCUCCUUGCACUCACCGCCCGUC